UCUUCUUCACUCUUUCAAGUGCGUGUGGAACGUGCCCCGGUCCAAACCCUAAGCCCAAACCUAAGCCAAAGCCGAAGCCAACUCCAAGCCCUAGCAAGGGUAGUUGUCCUAGAGAUACCCUAAAACUAGGGGUGUGUGCUAACUUGCUCGGCGGAUUGCUUGGUGUGACCAUCGGAACUCCUCCAAAAAAGCCGUGCUGCAGCCUCAUCGAGGGUUUGGCUGACUUGGAGGCGGCCGUUUGCCUUUGCACCGCGAUCAAAGCCAAUGUUCUUGGGAUCAACCUAAAUGUGCCUGUUUCCCUUAGCUUGCUUCUCAAUGUUUGCUCCAAGAAAGUUCCAAAGGGUUUCGUUUGCGCCUAAUUAAUUUGGGUCACGGCAUCUUGUGUUUUUUGUGAUAUUAUGUUCUUAAUUUCCUAAGAUUCUUUAGUUUUUAGCUUUGCAGUUCUUGUGCAUGGCAGCUUUACUUGUUUUAUGUUUGUUUGGUUAGUUAAUAAUUUGGGUGGCAAAAUCAUGCCCGCUAUAUAUGCAUGUGAGCUUGGAAUGAUAUAUGUAAUAGUUUGUCGAUCGUAAUGUUACAUUUGCAGUAAUUAAUAUAACGAAGGAUAUCGCUACUAAUUAAAACCGUAGAAGUUAUUAACGAUAAAUUCUACAACCUCCGUCCCAUUUAAUUUGGCACACUUUCCUUUUUUAUUUGUUCCACUUAAAUUGACAAUUUCCUAAAAUAGUAUGUGAUCCCUAUUUUUUCUACACACAUAAAAUAAGUAGACCCUAUCUAGUUUACACUCAUAACCUUUUAUUCUUAAUCUUCAUGUUCAUCAAUUUAAAAGGUUUUGUCUACCCUACGUCGCCACAUUCUACGCACUGUCGUAGAUGGACUGACACGUGUUCUCUCUAUUUUAUAAUUUGUUUUGUUAUUUGUUUUAUACUUUUGCUUAACCCAGACCCGGACCCGGAUUACUGUUGAAUACCACUUGCACCGUUUUUUUGCAUGGCUGUUUUGCAGAAGCUAACCUUCCAUCUUGGAUUAUGUGCCUCCCCUAAUUACUUUGACUCUAAAAAAUUAGGUUGACACGUUUCGAUCUGUAGUUGACGGAUCAUUAUGAUUUUUCAUUCCCCACCGUUGGAUUACACUUUAAAAAAUUUGGGCUAUACCCACGUUGCCGGUGUACGACGGCCAGCUUCUACUUCAACGGCUUCUUCUUCUUUUUCACAAGGCUUUUACUUAUUCUGUGGAAGUAUUAUCUUGUGAGGGUAAAAUAAAAAAUUUCAAAAUGGGUUCUCCAGCAGUGUUGUUAUUCUUUGACGUUGUAAGCUUCGUCGAAGUAUAAUAUUCUCCGGCACUCACCGUUCACCUUCGUUGCUGCUGCAUUACUGUGUGAAAGCUCUGACAGGUUUACCUAGAAAACCCAUAAAGGAUUAUUGGAAGGUUGUUAAAUUUUCCAAUGCACCAAGACAGGUAAAUAUGCACGAUUGUGGUAUAAUGGCUAUUAAAUUUAUGGAGUGUUGUGCUUUUAACGUGUCAGUGACGGAAAUCAUUCCAUCCCGAUGUGAGAAAUCCCGGCGCCGUUAUUGUGCCAAGUUAUUGGCACUCUCCGAAGAUCUGCAGCGUGGCUCUGUUGCGUGAGUCGCUAUGAAUUUAUCGUUUUCUGGGUCUGGUAUAAUUUGAGUUGGUGGUGUAGUCAUCAAACUCCUUUUGAAAAAUGUUGAACAUUUGAUAUUUUGGUACUCGGGGCUAUCUUAGUGUACUUGUUUUUUACAAUAGAAUGUUUAUUGUGGUGUUCUUAGCUGCUAAGUAUAAAGUAGUGACAACAUAUUUGAAGUUCGGAAAGCGAUUUUCCCAUAUAUAUAUAUACGUAGGAAUAUAAAUGUUUAGUUUUUUACAGUAAUUAAUUAUAUUAUCUAAGACAAUGCGAUGAAGUAAUAACGAAAAUUAUAUGCCUUUUUCUGAAUGGAACAAUGUUAACUAAUAAUGACAACAUUAUAUGUUAUUACAGGAAUUACAAAUUCAGUCAUUUUUAAAAAAACAAAAUACCAGAUAAGCCUAAAAUUUUGGAGGAAACUAUAGCCAUAAUACAGAAUACUACUACUAUGUAUCAACAAUAACAAAACUACCGUCUUCCCAUACGAAACGUCUGAUAUUAACUUGAAUCGUGGACGUAUGAUCUGGACUACAAGUUCCAACGAUGUUGAAGUAUACCACAUCCCCAACUUGAAGUCCAUGUUCAACGUAGAACUUCAUGCAUCACGUGAGCGAGUACUAUGGUUUUUUUUUUUGUUGAUGGCUUUUUUGAAAAAGUAAAAUAUUCUUUGAGAAUAUAUUCGUUUUUUUUUAACCUUUUCAGAAUUUAUGUCAUAUAAGCUUUAUCCUUUUCAGAAGAUGUAAACAAAUAUAUGAAAUAGCAAAUAAAAUCUAUGUUUCCGUUGACAGCCAAAGCUCCUUCCUAUCGAAAAUAUACUAAAAAGAAAGCCGGUGCUGUAUUCACAGCCAAAGCUGCUACUGUGGUUCUGCCGUCGGUUUCAAUUUACAUGUCUAGUUCACCUUCAACAUCUCAGGUACGUUGCCAUGCGUUUCUUAGUCGGUAGUUCACCUUCAACAUCUCACAGUAUGGUCGUUCUGUUUCUUUUAAUUCCUAGAAAUGGUGUUUUAUAUUCACUAAAUUAGAAUUUUAGUAUUCAGUUGGUUUUAUGGUGUUUGGCUACGUGUCUACAAAUUGGAGAUUAAUUGUUUUUGUGUCAUCUCAUAACCAAGCGGUUCUCACCGCCAUAUUAGCUACGUGUAGUUAUUGUAAUUGUUUUUAUUUUUUCACAAUAUAAUAAUGCCUCAACCUUUUUAAUUGAUUUGGAUGACAUGUAGAUUUCGAAAUGAAUGAAUUACCCCCAUAAUAUUAUAGUUGAAAUUAAAUGAUCUAUUUGAAUAAAUAAAUUUAAAUAUUAAAUAGAAACAAAAUAUAAUAAAUAUAAAAAUGUUGAAAAAGAAUUAAAAUUACAAAGAGAUUUAACUAUUAAACAUAAUAUAAUACAUAUAUAUAUAUAUAUAUUUAUAUAUUUAUAUAAAACUAAAUACAAACAUAAAUGAUGUCAAAUAAAAAUAUGAAUGUGAAAAACAUUCGAAAUUUCAAUUUUUGAAAUAGCAAUUAAUUGAUUUAAUUGAUAAUGUGUAUAACUAUAUAAAUUAUGAACUAUGAAAAAGCAAGUAUAGAUGAUAAUGAGUAUCAUUAUGGAUCAUAUAAUAUUCUAAGAUGUACAAAACUAUUUAUUUAUAUAUAGUAUAACUAUAGUUUAAUAUAGUCUUUGAAUAAAUAUUUAAAUCAUGCAUAUUUAUGCGAUUAUUUUGUUUAAAUAAAAUUUUAAAAUAAAGUUCAUAUCAACGUAUACAAUCGUUUAUCAAUUGGAAGUGGAAAAAUAAUUAACAUGAGAUAUGUGUCAUUCAUUUUUAAAAUUAAAUAUAUACUAUUUCAGUGAAUAUAAAUAAACGUGGUACUACAAAAUUAAACUCUUCAAUUUUUAUCUUAUUUUUCAUUUUAAAAAAAUGGAUAAUAGUUCUCCAAUUUACGAUUUUCCUAUGAGUCCUUUUGAAGCUUAAUAAUAUUCAACUGCAAGUUUUUAUAUUUGUACAUGUAGAUUGAAAAAUAUUUCAUCACCUGAUUUAACUUAAUGUAAAUUAUUUGAAUAAAUAAUACNCUGGGAAUGUGCCAUUUUACGGGCAGAGCGCAACAAAUAACUUUCGCUUGGAUGUACCAAUUCAUGAUUGUGCUCUUUCUCGAACAAAGUUACGACCCAAGGAGAAUCAACAUCUGUACGGCUAACACGUAGCCUAGCCUUGCAGUUGCUUCUAUAACUCUGCUUUUUGUAGGCCGCUAGUCUACCAUUUGAGGCCUUGUUAUCAGGUGGUCCCUCGCAUGAACAAUGAAAAGCCUUGGAACAUUCAAUUUCUGUGUUUUUGAAUUUCCCUUGCGCCCCUUUCCUAGCUGAAAAUCCAAUCAUCUUCGCAUAUUGACAAUACAACACAAAAACUUCGUCAAGGGUGUCAAUAGCACUUCCAACAUUAAUCAUGGAUUCCACUGCACGCAAUGUCACUAAAUCUCCAUUCACACUUUCUUCCUCAACUGAUUCACCAUUCGGUUCGUCUUCGUUGGCACGAACACUUUCUUCGGACAUUGCAUCAGUCGAUUGCUCAUUAUCACCUCCUGAAUCACUCUUACUUAAAUCAAAUUGAAUACCAUUGCCACUAUAACUAUCGGAACACCCAUCGCUGCUGCAGGAUAUAUUUAAAUCGAUAUCCAUUUCCCUUCAAUUCACAAGAGCAGAUUCUGCAAUGGCGUGGAAAAUAUAAGUUGCCUUAGCCAAUAAUAAUCACUACUGCACCUAAAUAAAUAAAGGGAAUGCAGUAAGAAAAGGGCUAACUACCGUAAAUAACGAUUAUAUUUUUUUCACAAGAAUUACCAACAAUAAUUAAAUAUUUUCCCAAUAAUUAUAUAAUUACCAACAAUAAAUAUACAAAAAAAAGAACGAAUAUUAAGACGGCAAUAAUCAUAUUUUAUCCCACAAAGAUUACCAACAGAAAACCAAAAAAAAUAAGAGAACCCAUUUUGAAAGCAUCGAGAAUUCUUAACAAUAUUGAGUGCCGAUUUUGAAAAUAAGAGAACCCAUUUUGAAAGCUUCGAGAAUUCUUAAAAAUAAGAGAACCCAUUUUGAAACCCAUUUUGAAAGCUUCAAAAAUUACCAACAAAAAACCAAAAGGUAUAAAUUUACCUUCGAUAAUUCUUAACACAGUAAUGCAGCAGCAUGAAAGGUGAACGGUGAGUGCCGGAGAAUAUUAUACUUCGACGAAGCUUACAACGUCAAAGAAAGGUGAACGGUGAGUGCCGGAGAAUAUUAUACUUCGACGAAGCUUACAACGUCAAAGAAUAACAACACUGCUGGAGAACCCAUUUUGAAAUUUUUUAUUUUACCCUCACAAGAUAAUACUUCCACAGAAUAAGUAAAAGCCUUGUGAAAAAGAAGAAGAAGCCGUUGAAGUAGAAGCUGGCCGUCGUACACCGGCAACGUGGGUAUAGCCCAAAUUUUUUAAAGUGUAAUCCAACGGUGGGGAAUGAAAAAUCAUAAUGAUCCGUCAACUACAGAUCGAAACGUGUCAACCUAAUUUUUUAGAGUCAAAGUAAUUAGGGGAGGCACAUAAUCCAAGAUGGAAGUUUAGCUAAAUUCUACAACCUCCGUCCCAUUUAAUUUGGUGCACUGGUUUCCUUUUUUAUUUGUUCCACUUAAAUUGACAAUUUCCUAAAAUAGUAUGUGAUCCCUAUUUUUUCUACACACAUAAAAUAAGUAGACCCUAUCUAGUUUACACUCAUAACCUUUUAUUCUUAAUCUUCAUGUUCAUCAAUUUAAAAUUGUGCCAAUUUAAGUGGAUUGGAGGGAGUAUUUGACAAGUAAAUUAAUCUUUUUACGGUAUGCAAAAUAAGAUUUUUUGUGGAUAUACUUGCAUAUACAAAGAAAGCGCAGAAGUACAAAUAAUUAUAUACUUGGGAAAGUAACAGGACCAAUAAUCAUAUUUAUAGCAUAUAGAUAAGGGCCAUAGAUAAGCUUAUUCUUCACCAUAACAAAGAUUCAAUUUCCAAAAACAACAUUAAAGUCCGUGCAUGAUGUUAUCCAAUCAUUAAUCAAUUUAAGCAUGAUUAUGUUCAUACGGUUGUCUGGAAUGAGAAUUGGCCUUUUUGGCUGCAGAAACUUGUUCGGAGGAUUUAAAAUAAAAAAACAUUCAAACAAAAGAAAAAAAAUUAAGCAUGAUAGGUCACUUAUUGACGAAAUAAAUAUACACACAAAAAAAGAAGAGGUGGUCUUGGAUAUAAUCGGGUGUAUUGUAUAAUCGGAUUGAUCCGCACUCAAAUCUUGACCCGCACUUUGAUUCGAAUCGGCAUCCCGAUCCAAAUCAUGUAAAUAACACUAUUCGGUUAUACAAAUGACACUGCGUAUAAAUGACACUAUAACAUUGUAAAUGACACUGUGUAUAAUUGACAUUAUUUAAAAAUAUAAAUGAUACUUCCUGUAAUUGAUAUUACUCCCUCCGUCCAUGAAUUAAAGCCCCACUUUGGUGUGAGCACGAAGACUAAGAAAGCUGAAAAAGGUGAUGUGGAUGAAAUAAAAGGGUAGUGGUUAAGAGAUUAGAGUACUUUUACAAAUUUUUGAUUAGGAGAUUGCUUUUAAUUUUUUGAUUUAUUUUUAUAUGCAUUUGUAAUUUAUUUUCCUUAUUUUUCCUUUUAUAGGUUUGUGAUUUUUUUUUCUUCUUGUUUACUUGUUUAAACAUUCACUUCGUUUUUUUUUUCUUUUUCUUUUUCUUCUUGUUUAUUUUCUGCACUUCUAUUUUUUUUUCUUUUACAAAUUGGCAGAAAUUAGCAAAGUAAAAAAAAUCGAAUGGAAUGAAGUCAACACUUAAAAGCUAUAGUAAAAAAUGAGGGAAUAGAACAUUUCAUUGCAUUUCACCAAGAAACAAGUACAGCUGUCCCUCCAAAAGUUAGGAGGGAUAAUCAAAUUCACCUAGCCUCUAAAAUCCCUAUAAAUACCACAGUAACUUCAUAAUUAGCAUUCAUUCUCGCCUACUACAAGUAAAUCACUAAAAAUAACCAUUGAAAGUCCUAAUAUCCAAGAUGAUGACAGAAACAAAAUAGCACAGUGACUUGCUUGAACAUAGCAUUGGAGGCAAGCUUGAAUAUGGUGCAAAAAAGGAGGCAACCUUUCUCUUCAAAGUGAAUUUGAAGACCAUUUGGAAGAUUUGGAGCCAAGUAUUACAUCAGCGAGCUUGUGGUGUACCUGUCCAGGUAAACUCCAUUAGAAAAGGCAGCUCAUACAAAAAUAAGAAGAGUAUUGAUGUUGAAAAAGUGAAGAAUCUUUUUGUGCUUCAAAGAUCAUCAAUGAGAAUCGUGUCUACAAACCUAAGUGUGUCUAAGUCUUUGAUUCACAAGUGGGUAAAGGAGAAAAGGCUAAAACAACAUACAAAUGCUAUAAAACCAUUUCUUACCCCACAAAAUAGGCUAUCAAGACUUAGUUGGAGCCUGAAACAAAUUAGUUCAAUAAGUGAGGGUGGUUUUAUAAAGUUCCAAAGUAUGUACAACACCAUUCACAUCGAUGAGAAAUGGUUUUACCUUACCAAAAUUAAGGAUGGGUAUUACCUCAUGCCGGAUGAAGAGGAACCGUAUAUGACAUGCAAAUCAAAGAGGUACAUUGUGUGUUGUAGCACAACCUAUAAUUGACAUAGAUGGCACAAUACUCUUUGAUGGAAAGUUUGGCAUCUUUCCUUUCACAACCAUAGAAGCAGCUCAUAGGAAUUCAAAAAACAGAAGCAAAUGUACCAUGGAGGUGAAGCCAAUUGCAGCCAUUACUAAGUCAUGAAAGCUUGCCUUAUUAAAGAUGUAAGCUGUUACAGUUUUUAUUUUAUUAAUGAAUGCUAUAGUAGAAUCUGUAACAGUUCAUCAUUUAGCCCUUUAUUUUGGCAGAUGGUCCCAAUCUUUAAAGCUAAGUGGCCAUUGGCAGCAAACAAGCACAUAUUUAUCCAACAAGAUAAUGCCAAACCCCAUAUAAAACCUGAUGAUCGAGAGAUUCUAGCGGUUGCAAAUACUGAUGGAUUUAAAAUUCAACUAGUAUGCCAGCCAGCUAAUUCGUCGGAUACAAAUGUGAAUGAUCUAGGGUUUUUCAUAGCUAUACGGACACUGAAAGAUCAAAAACCAGCAAGUAAUGUGGAGGGGUUACUAAAGAAUGUUAAAGAUGCCUAUGACGAAUACCUACCAGAAAAGCUAAACCAUGUGUUCCUCAAUUUGCAAAGUUGCUAUCACGAAAUAAUCAAGGCAAAUGGUAGAAAUAACUAUAAAAUUCCCCACAUGAACAAAGACGGACUCACAAGGCAGGGGUUGCUACCAGACUGUAUUCUGGUUGAAGAAGCACUUGUAAGGGAAAAUCUAGAGUUCCUAGAGUUAAUUGGAAGCAAGUGAAGAAGGUGAAAUUUACAACCUUGGAGAUGUCAUAGAAGGGCUGCAUCAAGUGGGCAUUACUGAUUAGUUACUAUAAAUUAGUGCAGGGUUUACAGAUACAAACACCAUGAUGGCAACAAAUAUACACAAUUGGUACCACAAAUACACAAUUGGCAGCAAAUAUACACCAUUAGCAUCAUAGAUACACAAUUGGCAGAAUAGAUACAUAUUUGGCAGCAAAUAUACACAAUUGGCAGCAAAUUAAUAUACACAAUGGGCACCAUAGAUACACCAAACGCAUAAAAUAACAGAUAAGGCAUCACCAGCCAUCCCCACAAUGCACAAUAAAUAAGAAUCACAGAAGGCAUCACCAGUCAUUCCCCACCAAAGAACUGUAAACGGAAUCACAGAAUGGCAUCACCUGAUUCGCUUGGCCUUCUCCCUAUCUCGUAUGAAAGAUUCUCUAAAUUCGGAGGUUCGCUUGGCCUCUUCCCUAUCUCGUCUGAAAGAUUCUCUAAGUUCGGAGAUUCGCUUGGCCUUCUUCCUCUCUCAUUUGAAAGAUUAAGACACUGGCUGCAUUGGCUCCGAUCUAGAGAGAGAGAGGCGCGCCGUUUCGAUUUCCGGCAGCAACCACGGCGUUUGCUUCAAAUUCCAGCAUUAUCGGCUCCGAUCCAAAGAGAGAGAGGCGCGCCGCUUCGGUUUCAGGCAGCAACCACAGUGCCACUUCGGUUUUCGACUGCAUCACCUCCGAUCCAGAGAGAUGGAGCAACCACACCACUUCUGAGCGAUCGAAAGCUGCCGCUUCGCAUUCCGGAGGCAAUGGCUCCGACACACAUAGAUCAAAGGCGGUGAAGUCCGCUUCCGACACAACCGACACUGAUUCACAGAGAUCGAAGGCCGAGAUUUGGGUUUCCGGCGUAAUCGACUCUGUUUUUUAUGGAGGAUAAAACCGAGUGACAUAGUGUAGCACAACACCCUCCAUCGAAGAUGGAGGGUAUUUUGUCUGUGACAGAUUCAUUGAGUAACAGAGAGAGGAACACGAGAGAGAGAGGCUCCUAGGGUUUAUUACAGAGAGAGGCAGACGAAGAGAGAGAUAGGCUAUAGAUCUAGGGUUUCUUCCAGAGAGAGGAAGAUGAAGAGAGAGACGAAGAGAGAUAGGCUCUAGAAAUCCUUGAAAAUGGGGAUGAAUUAAAUAAGGCUACAAAUAUUAAAUGGGGAGGGAUAAUUCUUGAUUAUUAAGUCAAUUAAUUAGCUGCACUUAGUGAAUUAAUUAAUUCUAUAAUUAAGCAGGUUUAAAAAUGGGGAUGGAUAAUUAAUGGCAAAGGGUAGUUAUUUUAAAUAAAAAGUGAGGGUAAAAGGGUACAAAAAGCAGAAUAGGGCUUUAAUUUGUGGACAAAUUUUUAAGGGUAAGUAUGACUUUAAAUUGUGGACGGAGAGCGUAUAAGAUUGUAAUUGACACUAUAACAUUUUAAAAUGUUACAGUGUCAUUUAUAUAACCGAAUAAUGUUAAUUAUAGGCAGUGUCAUUUACAUGAUUUGGAUCAGGAUGUAGGCUCGGAUAAAAAUGCGAGUCAAAAUCUAAGUGCGGGUCAACCCGAUUGUAUGAUACACCUGAUUGUAUCCAAGUUUUUAUGAAAAAAGAAAACACUUGCUAUCUAUCUCCGAUCGGAGCCAAAAAAAACCUUGUUAUCUGUUCCGAAGUAGUUUAUUGUAUUAUAAUUACUAGCUAGAUUUCUUCUGCUAUCGACGAUUCAACAUUAGUCGUCUAAUAAUUAUGAUCCAGUAUUCAUAUUCAAAAAGUUAAAGAGGCAAAAGUUAAAAUUAUCAAUUUACUUAACUUAAAUAAAAAUUAAUAGUGAUCAUAAUUACAGAAAUAUAGUAUUAAUUAUAUAUUUAUCAAAAAUACCUUUUUAUUAUCAUAAAUUAGAAACAUUUAAAAUCUAAAAAUUCUAUUUUAUUUUACAUAAAUUUAAAUUUGAAAAAAAAAAGAUCAAAUAGAAAAAGAAACAAUCAAAACCCUAGCCCAACUCUCCAUCAAACAGUUGCCUACUCUUCAAGAAUUCCAACGAACAACAACAGCUAGCAGGCCGCCGCCGUGAACCCCCAUCUGCCUUGUCUUUCUUUCUUGAUUUCUUCUCUAUUGACGCAAAUCCCAAGCCUUCUCUUCUUUGAUCGAUUUUCGGUAACAAUGUGUGUACGCUAGUGUGAUUAAUGUUCAAGGCCUGAGAUUCCGAGUUAGUGUCCACUAUGGCGCGGAUUUUAAAAUUCUUUAAUUGAUUGUCUACAACAAUGUAAAUCUAAAAUCUUUUGGAGUUUGGGACGGUGGCAGAGUUGGUAGUUUUCAGUUUUUCAAUUUAUGUUUUCUUAAAUUUAUUUUUCCUUUUAUUUUAUUUUUAUUAGAUAAUUUUAUUAUUAAAGAUAAAAUCAUCUAGUUAUUCCAAAAAUAGUUAGUAUUAAUAUGUUUUUAGUUUUGUGGUUACCAUGAAUAUUUUGUUAACCAAAUUAGUUAUUUAGAGCUAUUAUAACAACGCUUACCUGAUCAAAUGUUGUAAUUAUGACAUAUAUGAGCUAUUGGCAAAGACGCGAUAUACUAGCAUUACUACUUUCAUUUUACGGCCAUAAUUAGAGAAAGUUUAAAUAUAUAUGGGAAGGAUUAAAGAAAAUCUAGGUUUUUCUUUCAUUAUGGUAAUGAUGAUAAAGGGUAAAAACAAAUCUAAAUUGUAAUAAAUUGGUUUGGUCCUAAAUUAGCUGGAAGUCUAAGUCAUGGGCCAUGAGAAUAAUAGUAUUGCCCGUGACUCAAGAUUUGGUGCAAUGUAAUGACCUUCUUCAACCAAUCAAAAACAAAAAAAAUACUUAAAUCUUUUUUCAUUUCUACAUCAAUGGAUGGCGGCAUUCUAACAAGAUAAUUUAUUUAUUUAUUCUCACUAAAUUAGAAACUUUUGUUUAU
rnacentral:lncRNA from 1 species